CAAUCUCGUUGUGAAUUUACUAUGGAGGGCUUAAAAAAGGAGAUUUAUCGGCAAUGGGCAAAUUUGAAAUUUCUGUCCCCACUUUUAAGCAGCUUCCUCGGUUUGACAGCAGAGGCACUGCGAUCGACUGGGAUACUACAUUUUCAUUCAGUACAACAAUGAGUCGUGGUAGAAAUUGCUUUGUACCUGGCUGUACAAGUGGGAAUCCCAAUAAAAACAAGGCAAAUAAAGAACGGGGUGAAAGAAACCCAAGCCUUUUCAAAGCUCCUAAUGAUCCUAGCUUGCUACAGCAGUGGCAAAAGGCGAUACCCAGAUCAGACAAGACACUUAGCAGCAAAGAUGCUGUUUGUGAACUACAUUUUCUAGAUGAAGAUAUUUUGACUCAUUAUGAGAUCAAAUUAACUGACGGAACUAUCAGUAGAAUUGAGCGGGGUAGACCAUUAUUAAAGGAGGGUUCAAUUCCAAGAAUUUUUCCUAACCUGCCUUCAUAUUUCUCUAGUAAUAAAAGAAAGAGGAAACCACCAUGUGUAAGGAGUGAAGCAACUGAAAAAGUUUCUAAUUCAAAAAAAGUAAAAGGUCUGCCUAUUAAUCAUGUUGAAAAUCAAACUUCAGAACCUAACUUUGAGAAUGAGAAUGAAAUUCUUCGUGAUAUUACUAAUGUGCCAGUUGAUGUUACAGACAGUAGAGUUACUAUGUUCACAAAUUUGAAAAAUAGUUUGCAUAUGUCAGAUUGUAAAUUUAUUAUAAAAAUUAUUUAGAUUUUUGACUAGCCGUCGCAAGACGCUUUUUCAUUGAGGAAUAAUAAGAAAUAAUUUGAAAAUUAUUGUAUUGUGGUUGAUACUUUUGAUUGUGUAUAUAAACCAUUUAGAAUAGUUUUUAUGAAUAUGAAUAAGCUCUUUAAAUUAAUAUGUAGGUAUAUUGUAGCUAGGUAUUUUUUUAGAAUGCAUUUUUUUUAAAUUGUAAUUUUUUGUGUUCUUGAUAUAAUAUGAUGUUCCUGUUUUAUUUUUUGGCAUAGUACAUAUAGAUAUUUAAUAUCUAAGUGCUAAAUUGUAUAUUAAAUUUAUAUAUUGUAUAUUUUAUUUAUUAAAUUUAGUGGAAUUAGUUAAUAGAAACAAAAGUUGUAAUGUAUUAAUAUUGCUAAAUAAAUAUUUAUAUGAUGAAAUAAGUCAGCGUAUAUACAUAUUCACAACUCUGUAUUUUUGUGCUUUUGAAAUAAACUGAGUACAUUAUUUAUUCAUUAAUAUUUUAUUUACAAACCUACCUUAUAUUAAUAAAGUGAAUAUCAAUAGAAAAACCUUUACAAUUAUUAGGUGACAUUGAAUAUAAUAUAUCUUGAAUUUAAUUGUCUACGAAACAGUGACAAUUUGCAAAACUUUGCUAAUGACAUUAAAACUUACAAUUCAACGCUAGAAAAAACGCUAUUGAACACAGGAAACGUUUCAGCUCAAUAUACCUACUCUCUAGUUUCAGCUAUAAAAAGUUAUGGAAUAGAUAACACCGAUCAAAGGGUGCAAUGGUAACGUUCGUCUUCAGUUUCCAUUUAUGAUUAAGUUAUUCCUGAUAAAAUACUCUUAAUUUUCGUUAUUCAAUCUGUCAAUCGCCAUAAAACCACUACUAGUUCGAAAGAUUUUAAUGUUUAUUAAAAUGGUAUCACACUAAACUGCAUGUAAACAUGUCAAUUUCAAAUGUUUUAAUGAAAAACUAUGAACCUUUAAACUGCAUCAACAAAACUAUUAAUAAAACACUAACACAAUCACACCAUAAACUAUUUCAUUCGCAUUUCUCAUCAAGAAACAAUUACUGUUUACAUCAAAUCAAAGGUUGAACUGGUGAUAAAUUUGUUGCUGGAACUUCUAUCUUUUUUGUACAACAGUUCUAGGGAAGAUUUAUUUUAGCAGCUUAUAUGUUUCUUCGGUCGUGUAUGCACUAAAAAGAACCACAUAAUAAAACAUUUUUAUAAUAUCAACUUAGGAAAAGGAUAUAUUAAACCGGCAUCUAAUAUAACCUAACUAACUUUUCAAACUCAAAUUUAAGGUUUUGUAUUCACAAUUUUAGCCACGCACAUUGCUCAAUUAGAAAAACCACGUUUCUAAAAGCUAACUCUGGUAAAAAUAUGCCCAAAUAUUAACUUGGCUCUAUAAUUUAUAACAAAAUAGUUAUUCUUGCCAUAAGAAGCUGUGUAUUUCUAGUAUCCCAAUCAUCACAAGCGCCCCUAACGGCGAUUUUCGAACUUCAUUUAGAUCUCAAAAACUGGGCCCAUAAUUUUUGCGUUCGAUUCGCCUCCUCCUUUUAGACUCCAUAGAAUUUACUAUUUUAAUUAAUGCAAAAUAACAAACAUUUGGUCCAUUAAACACCGAAGGCUUAUUUCUAAUGGGAAAAAUUAAUAAUACUGUUAAUCCUGGAGUAGAAAUAAUACCAAUUAGUGAUCAUAAUACCGGACAGUCCCAAGAAAAAGCUGUUAACUCUGUUGUGAAAAUGCCAUACAUGUCUGAUCCAUCUAUUAUCCCAAGAGUGCAGAAGUAUUUGGAGAAUAAUAUUGACAAAACUUAUGUUGAUAUCAAUCAAAUGGCAGAUGAAUUACAAAAGAAAUACCGAGAAUACGGCAAACGGAAGAGGAGUGCCUUUAGGGCUUCAGUUAAAAAAGCAUACUCUGUAGUUUUGCAAAGUUAUGGUUUAGAAGAUAGAGAGGAGAGUUCAGACGACAUUGUCAGUGAGGAUAGUGAUAGUAGUGAUAAUGAUAAAUUCGCUAAUGACUCUAUGAAUAAUCAACUGGCAGAGGAUGUACCAACGUCCUGCUGCUGUUAAACCAAAACUUGAUGAAAAUGAACUAAUCGAUAUUAGUAGCGAAGAUUCUGGAAGAAGAAGCAGCUUACAACAAUUACGGCAGCAAAACAAAUGGGGCCUCUACUUCUAACCUGCUUUCACUUUUUAAAAAUAUUGGCGGCAUGGACAAGGUACUAGAAGAUGUUUGCAAAUUGUUGUUACAUAUCAGACAUCCAGAGUUGUAUAGAAAAAUUGUAUUUCACCACCAAGAGGGAUUUUCACUCCAUGGUCCUCCAGGUUGUGGUAAAACUCUGUUGGCCAAUGCAAUUGCAGGGGAAUUAGGGGUACAGUUGAUUAAAGUGGCCGCUCCUGAACUAGUUGCAGGUGUCUCCGGUGAGAGCGAAGAAAGAAUUCGGGAACUGUUUGAAAGAGCCUGCAGUUCAGCUCCUUGUAUUUUGUUUAUCGAUGAAAUUGAUGCCAUCACGCCUAACAGACAAAAUGCGCAGAAAGAAAUGGAAAGAAGGAUUGUAGCUCAGUUACUGAGCUGUUUAGAUGAUCUGAGUGUAAAUGAAAAUGGAGAUAGGGUGUUGGUAAUAGGCGCCACUAAUAGACCCGAUUCCAUUGAUCCAGCUUUGCGCAGAGCCGGACGAUUUGACAGGGAAAUAUGUUUAGGAAUUCCCAAUGAGAAGGCUAGAGAACAGAUUCUAAAGGUACUCACCACAAAUUUGACACUGUCCGACGACUUUGAUUAUCAGAAAAUCGCCAAAUUUACACCAGGCUAUGUGGGCGCGGAUUUACUCUCUUUAACGAGAGAGGCAUCAAUGGUAGCAGUUAAUAGAGUAUUUAAUGAUAUUAAGGAGCGUCGUAGAAUAGAGCAAGUGGUAGCUUUGCAGAAGGCAACGGAAGAACAACAAAAGGCAAAGGAAUUAGCCAAACAGAAGAAGGCAGAGGAGGCAGAAAAGAAAAAACGAGAAGAGGAAGCUGCAAAGGAAGCCGACCAACAAGAAAUAGUAGUGGAUAGUCCUAAAGCAGCUGAAAACACUAAAGACAAAGAAGCCGAUACCUCUACCGACGCCGUAGUAGUUUUAGACGAUAACGAAGAGUCUCAAUCAAAAUCUGAACCACCAGCUGCUGCUUCAGUGGGCGCUUCGAUAGAAACGAACCUCAACGGCGCACUUCCACCUUCAGAAGUAGAACCGGAAAUUAUAGUUGAAGAAGAAUCUCUACCUCCACAAGAACCAAUGCCAGUUGAUGAGGUCAAGCCAUUACUGAUUUGGAAGAGCUUAAACUCUGGUUACAUGACAGAAUACCUAUCAGCGAUGAUCAGCUCAGAAAUCUUUGUAUAACCAUGGAAGAUUUUGGAAAGGCUUUGAAGACAGUGCAACCAUCAGCAAAGAGGGAAGGUUUCGCUACAGUACCGGAUACUACAUGGGAUGAUAUAGGAUCUCUCAAAGACGUCAGAGAGGAAUUGCAAAUGGCAAUUUUAGCUCCAGUCAGAUAUUCUGACCGAUUUGAAGAACUAGGUUUACACGUGCCAACAGGUGUUCUUCUCUGCGGUCCUCCAGGAUGUGGUAAAACUCUGUUAGCUAAAGCGAUAGCCAACGAGGCCGGUAUCAAUUUUAUUUCCGUCAAGGGACCUGAACUGCUUAAUAUGUAUGUAGGUGAAAGCGAAAAAGCAGUGAGGGUGUGCUUUGAACGAGCAAGGAACUCCGCACCAUGCGUCAUUUUCUUCGACGAAUUGGAUGCUCUCUGCCCCAAAAGGUCAGACUCCAGAGAGGGUGGCGCUACGAUGCGCGUGGUCAAUCAAAUGUUAACCGAAAUGGACGGUAUAGAAGGGCGCAAAGGCGUAUUUUUUUAUUGGCCGCGAGCAAUAGGCCGGACAUUGUCGAUCCUGCUGUACUUCGUCCAGGGCGGUUGGAUAAAAUCCUUUAUGUUGGGCUCCUUCGCGCGAAGACAGAGUGGACAUACUGCGAGCAAUCACAAAGAAUGGUACGCAACCGAAGUUAGAUGAAGACGUUGAUAUCGUGAGUAUAGGCACGUCGGAACAGACCAAGGGUUAUACUGGAGCAGAUUUAGCCGCUCUGGUAAGAGAAGCGUCUGUGCUAGCACUGAAGGAGUUCAUGCUAGGCGGGGAAGCGAACUUAAAAGUGUCCAGCAGGCACUUCAUCAGAGCAGCCGAAAAAAUAAGGCCUUCAGUGCCUGAAAAGGAUCAAAAACACUAUGAAAAAUUAAGGAGAAUGUAUACCGCAGUGCCCGAAGAAGCCGAAGUUGAAGAAAUGGAGUAUUCUUAGAAACAGGACUGUUUUUGUUAUUCCUAUUCUUUUUGGAAAAUUCUUAAACUUUUAGAAGACUCAUCAAACUCCUGAAUAUUUUUUUAUAUAGAUAUGCCUUACUAGAAGGUACGCAACACAUGGGAAUUUUUAAAUAUAUUUGUUUUUAAAAUUGUUGGACAAUAAAUAAAGAAAUCGUUACUAUAAAAAACAGCACGCAAAAAAGAAUAUUUUAAAAAUGUAUUAAUGCAGUGUGGUUAAAUAAUUUUCUAAACUAUGAAUUUUAGAAAAUUGAAAUUAUUUAGUUUGUAAUUAUAAAACUGAUAUCCCACAAUAAAAAAGAACAUUACAAACUUUCAUUUCCCUUUUUGAAUUGUGGUGCUCUUGCGAUGAUUAACUUAAUUUUACUAUAAUAAAAUUGUAAUUUUAGUGUAAAACUACACGGUUGACUAAAAUUAUAUUGUACAUGACUUUUUUUCCCAAAUUGAAUGUAAACCCAAGUCAGUGUUGCUUUUUGUUCUUGACAGUAUUUGACCUUUAUGUAUAUCAAAUCUUAAGUCCAUUAUAAACCUAAAUUUAAUAUAAGUUGAUAUAAAUGUAUGUUUAUUUUCAAUGACCUAUUGCGUAGUUUUAGUAAGAAUACUGUUUUUUGCACUUGUAUGUAUAAUUGUAAUAUUGCAGUUGCCGUUUUAUUAAUUGUCCGUUUUUUUCAAAUAACCCCGAAGCUGUUGUUCACAUGUCAAUCCAACUUUAUAGUAAAAUGGAACUGAUCUUUUAUUUUGAUUACUUUAUAUUAUUUUUUAGAGUUAUUCUAGAAAAGAAAUGAUAUCUAAUAAUGCAAGCAUUAUAGGUAUGCAUAUUUUAAGUCACUGUAUUAAAAAGUGUUUUA